CCUACGGGCGGCAGCAGUGGGGAAUAUUGCGCAAUGGGCGAAAGCCUGACGCAGCGACGCCGCGUGAGGGAUGAAGGUCUUCUGAUCGUAAACCUCUGUCAGCAGGGAAGAACGGUCACUGUGCUAAUCAGCAGUGAAUUGACGGUACCUGCAAAGGAAGCACCGGCUAACUCCGUGCCAGCAGCCGCGGUAAUAGGGAGGGUGCGUGCGUUGAUCGGAAUUACUGGGCGUAAAGCGCUCGUAGGCGGUAUGUCAAGUCAAGGGUGAAAUCCCCGCGCUCAACGUGGGAACUGCCUUUGAAACUGGCAAACUGGAGAGUGUGAGAGGAAGGCGGAAUUCAUGGUGUAGGGGUGAAAUCCGUAGAUAUCUGGAGGAACAUCAGUGGCGAAGGCGACUAUCUGGCACAUAACUGACGCUGAGGAACGAAAGCGUGGGUAGCAAACAGGAUUAGAUACCCUAGUAGUC
rnacentral:rRNA from 1 species